rnacentral:rRNA from 1 species
AUUGAACGCUGGCGGCAGGCCUAACACAUGCAAGUCGAACGAGUGGCGGACGGGUUAGUAAUACAUCUGCCUCUACUCUGUCGUGGGGGAUAACUUAUGGAAACUUACGCUACUACCGCAUACAAUUGAAUGAGCCGAUGUGGGAUUAGCUAGUUGGGGGGGUAAAGGCCCACCAAGGCGACGAUCCGUAGCUGGUCUGAGAGGAUGAUCAGCCACACUGGAACUGAGACACGGUCCAGACUCCUACGGGAGGCAGCAGUGGGGAAUAUUGGACAAUGGGCGCAAGCCUGAUCCAGCCAUGCCGCGUGGGUGAAGAAGGCCUUCGGGUUGUAAAGCCCUUUUAUUGGGGAAGCGGUACCCAAAGAAUAAGCACCGGCUAACUUCGUGCCAGCAGCCGCGGUAAUUC